CCCACAUCCAUGUGUGUAGGACUCCAAAAGAUCAUUAUUCAAUUUGGUACAGAUCUCUAGAAAAGUUAUCACAUGGAUGUGAGACUUGAUUGUUUUAGAGAUCUGUGCCAAAUUUAAUGGUUAUCCUUUGGGGUCCUACACACAUGGGUGUGGA
rnacentral:pre_miRNA from 1 species